CAGUAGCCGCGGGAAAACGUAGGUGGCAAGCGUUGUCCGGAUUUAUUGGGCGUAAAGCGAGCGCAGGCGGUUUCUUAAGUCUGAUGUGAAAGCCCCCGGCUCAACCGGGGAGGGUCAUUGGAAACUGGGAGACUUGAGUGCAGAAGAGGAGAGUGGAAUUCCAUGUGUAGCGGUGAAAUGCGUAGAUAUAUGGAGGAACACCAGUGGCGAAGGCGGCUCUCUGGUCUGUAACUGACGCUGAGGCUCGAAAGCGUGGGGAGCGAACAGGAUUAGAUACCCCAGUAGUCCCUGUCUCUUAUAC
rnacentral:rRNA from 1 species